rnacentral:misc_RNA from 1 species
AUGGCCAUUCAGAAGAUCUGGCAGAGACACUACCACAUCCUUACUAAGAGGGAGUUAACAAAGGAAUACAUAGUAGAGGAUCUCCAUGGCUGCUAUACACCGCCAAAGUUGGAUUCAGAACAUGAAGAACGUCUGAAAAUGCUUAAGCUUUUAUAACGAUGGGUGGGUUUGUGAAGUUGUAAGACAUAUUCCUAUGUCCAUCUAAUUAGUCAGGUUUUUAAAGCUUCAUAAUGUUCCUUUCCGAGAUAAAGAAGCUGCAUUUUGUAUUUGUUUGGCAAGUUUAUCCUUGCUCUGUUAGAUAAAC